CAGAUAUAAUUUUAAACACGAUAGGAACAGUAUUAAAAUAAAAAUCUGUACCAUUCUUCCGUAUUUCUUAGAACAUCACAUACCGUCAGGAGGGAGAAAGAAGGCAGUAUUAGAAGACACUGGGAUGCACAAUUUCCAGCUCUGAACAGCAGAAGGCGAUGUGACCCAGGAUGGCUUAGGCAAUACAUUUUUAUAGGGAAAAAAAAGCUCUUGGAGAAAUUCAUUAUAUGAAAUCAAAGAGGAAGAACUGCAAAAGAAAAUCUCCAAGUCACUAUCAGGCUUAUAAAGAAUAUAAAGAAGAACCAGCAGUCCACCAGAAUCUCAGG